GAGGAGAAAAGGCAGAAGCCCAUCUUCUUUCUGCCCCGUGGAGAAGUCUCCCAGACAAUCCUGCUCAGAGGGGCCAAGGAAGGAGCCUGAGCCUCAGAUGCAUCCUGGGAAACCCAGUCCCCUGCUCCAUCCCCGCCUCCCCACGGACAUGUUGGUGUGGACAGGACGGAAGCCGCAGCUGCAGCGCAGCCCCGAAGCGGACCACCUUGCCCUGAGGAAAGUGGAGAACUGGAGGAAUUCAGCGGAUUUCACGGACACUCAUAGAUUGCGCCGGCCCCACCAUGAGGGAAUCGGUUGGCACCAGGCUGCUGCCCCCUGGCCAUCCCCCCCCUCCCGCCCACCAGCCCACAACUGUGUAUCCCCUCCUUCCAGACCAUGCCAUUUCCUUUGUGGGUCAAGGGUCAAACACUGCCAUCAUGGAUGCCAAAACAGGUCCUUGCAACUCCAGGGAGGAUGGAGAUGUGUGUGUGCCUCAUGCAUGAGAGCAAGGGCCGGGACCAGAGCAGGGUGAGAGGGUCCGCCCCUCUCUGGACGGGUAAAGGGUUAUGGAAACGGGGGUCUAGAGUUCUGGACAGGUGAUCCGAAGACGGACCUCCAGAGCAGAUGUGAAGUCGCGCCGGGGCCCUUAAUUCUAUAGACAGUGCAACUUCCUCCUGCCCGGACUGUUGGGAGUUAUCUGCCCGGCUCUGGCUUCAAGAGUACAUACUCCCUUUCCCGCCCGAGGGGGGUGCCCCUGGGGGAGCGGGGUUUAGGGGCAGGAAGAGUCAAGGGUGAGUGUAUCUGUGUAUGCAUGUGUGACUACCCUAUGUUCUCCAUCCCUCCUGGAUGAGCAGAAAGAAGCGGGGAGAGGACUAGCAGCACAUCCUAGAGUGGGAAGAUGCAAAGUGGUUUCCCCCUCUCCUAUCAACAGAAAUGGCAUGCUCUGGCCCCCUCCUCUCUUCCUCCCCUCUCGGUCCCUUUGGCAACCUGGGCUCUGCAAGCCCAAAUGCAUCUGUAUGGAAUAAAAUGUAUAUGUUCUGUGUCACUCCUGA